UUGCUAUCUGCGAUAUGGAAGAUUCGAACCUGCCGCAGGUUCGGGUCGAACGCAGUGAGACAACGGAGCCGUUUACGGCGACGGCCCGUAGGGCGAGCGAAGCGAGUCAUCCUGCACGACUCACCA
rnacentral:sRNA from 1 species